CCGAGAAUCUUCGGCAAUGGGCGAAAGCUUGACCGAGCGACGCCGCGUGCGGGAUGAAGGCCCUCGGGUUGUAAACCGCUGUCAGUGGGGAGGAAGGCUCUGUGAAGAGCAGGGUUUGACCUAUCCGCAGAGGAAGUCCGGGCUAAGCUCGUGCCAGCAGCCGCGGUAACACGAACCGGACAAACGUUAUUCGGAAUCACUGGGCUUAAAGGGUGCGUAGGCGGCCUGACAAGUUGGGUGUGAAAUACCUCGGCUCAACCGAGGAAUAGCGCUCAAAACUGUUGGGCUCGAGGGAGUUAGAGGUAAGCGGAACUUAGGGUGGAGCGGUGAAAUGUGUUGAUAUCCUAAGGAACACCAGUGGCAAAAGCGGCUUACUGGAGCUCUUCUGACGCUGAGGCACGAAAGCCAGGGGAGCGAACGG
rnacentral:rRNA from 1 species